AAUUUCUGACAUGCUUAUUAUUAAAAAUAAUUUUAUUUUUUGUUACAUGUGUCGUUACCAAGCAGAAUCUAUGCUUCUAACCACCACACCUUCAAAGAAAAAGAAAGGGUAGGCUACAGGAUGUUCUUUCCGAUGUUGGUGUGCAAUUCGAUAUGAAACAUCACUUAAUGCAUUAGGCUUGCUGUGGCAUAUUAGCAGGUGAUGUUUUACAUAAAUCACAUUUACAGAUGAUUUCCUUUUUCCCCAGAGCUGCAAGAAAUGAAACAGAGACCACCGAAGAGGAAAACCUUCUGAUCCUACAUAGCCUGGCUGCAGCUGACUGGUGCAAUCAGGCAACAUUCAGUGGAAGACUGAAACUCCCUGCUGUCCUUUCAAUGGACAGAGAAGAAAGAAAAGAGGCCAUCCAGGAGAUGGACACCUGGGAUGGGGAACUGGAUCAGGAUUCUCCAGCAGAACUCUUCACAUUCGUUUUUGAAAAAAAAAAAA